AUUUGGGAAUCCACGUUGUCAAAGAUAAUCCUAGAACGAGAACUGAUGCAGUAACUGGGCAUUCUUCAUCGCUGAUGGGGUAGCCAUGGAUAUCCCAGCGAAUGAAACGGCAUCCUUCUCAUCUCCCUCCUCCAAAUUUAUUUUAGGCUAUUUCAAUUCCACAAUGGGUUCAACUCCAAUUGGUUGACAUCGGCGAAACUCUUUCUCAGAGCCCCAGUUUUGUGUCUACUCGCAGCAGCAGCUAGCCUAAAAAAGUGGGAUCCUUCGUCAUUGCCUCGAGCUAACAGAGAUCGUGUAUGCCUGUGAUCCUCGAGCUAAAAGUGGGAUUCUUACAAUUCGUCUAGGAGAGGGAAACUUGAAGCUUGGCUCUGCAUAAAUAGCGGGUUGCAUGCCUGUGAUGCUGUAGUUACGAACUAGGUUCAAUUCCCCAUUAUGGCACUCGAUCGAUUAGUUGGUGAACAAGAACGAAAAGUUGGUGCCACACUACUUCUGGUUUUGGACGUUUCUCCUUGAUUAAAAUUCUGGAAAGGCAUCGUGGUGUCUCCACCGCCAAGCCCUGCUGUCAGCUUUCAGAGGUAAGCAUCGCAAAGAAAUAGUGGCCUACAGUUCUGCUCUCCUGGCUUUGUAUGGCUUGUUUUCUUGGAAGCAGUGGUGCAAGGCUUCCGCUGUGGUGGAAGAAGGAACACGAGGCAGAAUGGGAAUCUUUUUUGUGUGAUGGGUUUUGCUGAGGAAUGAAUGUGGCGUCUUAUGCAGGUGAAUAGCAUUGGAACUCGGCCGUUCAUGAACGACCCUAUGUUCCAACGCUGGAAACUGCAGCAGCCAAGUGUGUUAAGACUCAGGUCGUUCUUGAACGACCAUAUAUGUCUUAACGCAGGAGCAGAUCACCAUGAAGGUCCAUGUAUUUCUCGGUGGGUUGAGAGAGCUUCAACAAAAGAAGGAAGGUUGUUCAUGAACAGCCUAUCUUUUGUUGACAACAAGCUUUCUGGACGAUAUAUUUCCCUGCCAAAGAAGACGAGAAUAGCGUGAGUGUGUUGUAUACCUGAACUUCGUCUUUGGAGCUUGAAUUGCUGAUGGACCUGCUUCGGUUUUGGCAGAGCUUUAGCCGUUUGCUUGCUUAUUUCUUUUCUCUAUUCCCUCUGUGUAUUUCUCUUCAGCGUGCCCACUUUUAUAUAAUAGUGGUUGGAUAGCUGAUGCCUUGUAUUUGAAUUUGGAUAACAGCUCAACUUCAUCACUUGUUAUCUUUUGAAUUAAUCAAAUAUCUUGACCAAGACUUGAAUCAAGGCUAA